UACGUAGGGACCGAGCGUUGUCCGGAAUCAUUGGGCGUAAAGAGCGUGUAGGCGGCCCUUUAAGACCUGCGUGAAAUCCUGCGGCUCAACCGCAGACGGUCGUGGGAAACUGGAGGACUAGAGUUCGGAAGAGGCGAGUGGAAUUCCCGGUGUAGCGGUGAAAUGCGCAGAUAUCGGGAGGAACACCAAUGGCGAAGGCAGCUCGCUGGGACGUUACUGACGCUGAGACGCGAAAGCGUGGGGAGCAAACAGG
rnacentral:rRNA from 1 species